rnacentral:rRNA from 1 species
UGAGGAAUAUUGGUCAAUGGGCGCAAGCCUGAACCAGCCAUGCCGCGUGCAGGAUGAAGCAUCGAUGGUGGGUAAAGUGCUUUGGUAAGGGAAGAAACCACCACUCGUGAGGGGUAUUGACGGUACCGGAAGAAGAAGGAACGGUUAACUCCGUGAUAGCAGACGAGGUAAUACGGAGGAUCCGAGCGUUAUCUGGAAUCAUUGGGUUUAAAGGGUUCGUAGGCGGUUUAAUAAGUCAGUGGUGAAAGCCCAUCGCUCAACGAUGGAACGGCCAUUGAUACUGUUCUACUUGAAUUACAAUGACAUAACUAGAAUAUGUAUUGUAGCGGUGAAAUCCUUAGAUAUUACAUACAAUACCAAUUACUAAGGCAGGUUACUACUUGUGGAUUGACUCUGAUGUACGAAAGCGUGGGUAGCGAACA